CACGUAGUUAGCCGUGGCUUUCUGGUUAGAUACCGUCACACGCAUAACAGUUACUCUAUGCGCUGUUCUUCUCUAACAACAGAGCUUUACGAUCCGAAGACCUUCUUCACUCACGCGGCGUUGCUCCGUCAGACCUGCGUCCAUUGCGGAAGAUUCCCUACUGCUGCCUCCCGUAGGAGUUUGGGCCGUGUCUCAGUCCCAAUGUGGCCGAUCACCCUCUCAGGUCGGCUAUGCAUCAUCGCCUUGGUAGGCCGUUACCCUACCAACUAGCUAAUGCACCGCGGGUCCAUCUCUUAGCGAUAGCUUGCGCCACCUUUCCUCACAGAAUCAUGUGAUUCCAUGUCCUAUGCGGUAUUAGCAGUCGUUUCCGAUGUUACUCCCCCAUAUGAGGUAGGUUACCCACGUGUUACUCACCCGUUCGCCACUCACCUUGACCAAGUGCAAGCACUCGGUCGCGGUUCGUUCGACUUGCAUGUAUUAGGCACGCCG
rnacentral:rRNA from 1 species